CAAUGUACUUAUUCGGGAUUUCCAAGUUAAAUGUGAUGAGCCUAGUAAGAGUAAUGUAGUCAAGAAUAAGACAGAUAGGAAAAAUAAGGAGAUACCCGAACCAACUGAUGUGAAACGUCUUGCUUUCAGACUAAGAGAAAGACAGCGAGAGUCAAAAAA